AUUAAUUUUCAGUUUAUACUUUCUUAUGUUGUCUGUAAAUUGCUUAGCUUUCUUCCGGCUUAAACUAAUGGUUUCCUCCAUGUGCUCUAUUUAUCAUACAAGCACAGAACAGUAGCUAAUUCCUAGCUCAUGUUCGUUCUCUGUACACUUGCAAUGAUUAGGUGGGAUUGUCUAGCAAGGUGAGAACAGAAGAUCAAGUGGAAAUUCCUGGCUCCUCUAAUGAGGAGAAAAGGAAACCUGUUAAAACUGAAUGGCAUCAUUGAUGGUUUCUAAAAUAUACAGCUGAAAGGGAUUCCUCUUUCUCCAGCUCUUCAAUCUGGGGAGGAGAUUCCAGGAAGAAAAUUAAGAGAGGGAGAGAGGUAGAAUAGAUCAUUUACUGGUACCUCACUAAAGGAAUGCUGAAGUUGGACACUCAUGUUAAUAAGCCAUGCUCCCCAUUAGGAGGCCACGAGGAUGAGCAAGAUACUUAGAAGCUACCUCGAUCUGAACAUGUCUGCCAAGCGUUGGGUGUUGACGAGGCCCUAGGGAAUUGUAACCCAGCCCCUCAUUUUCAUAAUGAAGAAACAGAGGUUAUGCCUGGUCCAUAUUUGCCGGGGGAACUAGUUGCAGAACAUGGAUGAGACCUGGAUGUCCUGACUCCAGUCCAGUGAAAGGAGAUACCAGGGGUAUCAGGAGAGAAAAGCAGAUGUUUUGACCCACUUGAGCAGCUGUAACUCAUCAAGGUGAAAGUAUAGGGCAGCCAGCAGGAAAGACUGGUGCUCUGCUAGUUUGACCAUUCUGACACCCAAACAAAUAUUGCCUGCCGCGGUCAGGAAAGACCCACCUGGUCCACAGGAAACUGUAAAAUACACCUGGGCAUUUCUUUCCUUGGGCCUCCAAGAUGGAUUGAAUGAAGCCACACCAUGAACUGAGCACUGUGUGAUGGUUUACUCAGCAAAUGGCUGCCGGGCAGGUUCUGCCGGUGUAGCCCCUUGGUCCCAUCAGAGUUGGGGGAAUUGCUACUUGACAUGAGGCUCUUAUUAUUGCGGAACAACUCUUCUGAAACUGCUCAAAGUUCAUCUUUUUUCCAGCUUUAUUAAGGUAUGAUUGAUAAAUAAAAAUUGUAUUCAUUUACGUUGUAUAACAUGACUUUUUUUUUUAAGACAUACGGUGUUAUUUGAUAUAUGUGUCCAUUGUGAAAUGAUACCAAAAUCAACUUAAUUAACACAUGCAUCACCUCACAUAGUUACCUUUUUUUUUUUUCCAAGUUCAGUUUUAAAAUCCACGGUCACCUGCUCCCUAUUUCGUGCACCUGAAUCUCUUGCCGGUUCCAACUGCUUCCUCCCUACCCUUUUGCUCAGGCUGCUUCCCCAGCUGGAAGGCACAGGUCCUAUACUUCGGCCAACUGCUACAAACCUCUCAAGAUCCAACUCGGGUACCACUUCCUCCGGGAAGCAUUUCCCGACCCCAUCCUUUGCCCGUCUCCCUUUACCACAGCAUGGCUCGUUCUCUAACACGCGGAGCUGGUCACUGGUCUGUGGACACGCACUGGCUCUUCCACCUCCGCUUCCCUGCAGGUAGUUCCCCGCCGGCUCCCGGCAGGCGCUCAGCUAGGGAAGGGAUGGAAGAAGGAACGGACGAGGUGCCUUCCGCAGAGCCGAGCGCCUGGGCACUUACUCGGGGUCUCAGAAGUCCCUUGCCUUCCGUGGGAGGACCGCCUCUGCUCCGAGCGCUCCCCGCGCCCAGCCCGGCUCUCAGGCUUCAGCGCCCUCCCUGCCCAGGGUCCGGGAGGGAAAUUCCCUGUGGGUGCUUUUGGCAGAGCAGAGUUUUAUCCCCCUUACACUGCGGGAGUGCGAGCCAGAGCUGUCCUCCUCCGGCUUUUCCGCCCUCCCUUAAAGGGUCGCCACCUGCCCAGCCUCUCAACUAGAAACAGGGCCUGAUUCUUUCCCUGAGUCUUCACGCUUGCCAGUCACCAAAUCCUGACGAUGCCACCGCAACACUUUUCAAUUCUGCCUCUGUCACCUGCCAUAGAGGGGACCCCGGACACGGAGAUGAACUGGAGAGACAGCCCCCUGACUGCUCGUCCUCCUUAAAUCUAUCCGCACACCGCAGCAGCAUCUGAACUACUGCCCGAGCGAACGAGCUUCUUACAAACCGGUCGGACCACAUCCCUGCCCUCCUUCACGGCUCCCUGGCCCCCGGACCCUGGGACAUUGCAGCCCCCGCCGUCCCCCAGCGCUGCGCGGGCCUUCCCCGCGGCCCCACGUCCUCCCGGGCGCCCUGUGCGUGUGCUCCCCUGACCUUCUCACCGCUUUCGCGAGUCUGGGCCUCUGCGUUUGGGGUCGUCCCUAUUUCUCCCUUCCUCGCGCCCCUCGAACUCCUCCCCAGCUCGCACACCGCUGCCCCGCGGAGCUCUCCCCAGCGCCCCCGCAGACCCAGCCGCCCUAUCCUGCUGCCGCGCUCCGCGCCUCCAUCACCGCUCCAUCCCCACUGUUCCGCGGGAAGCCCUCGGGGCGGGGCCGCGCCUCAGACCCCUCCGUGUCCCGACGGCCGUACAGCGGUCGGCAAGAGGAACGCCUCUGCCAGGCAUGUAGAGGGCAGCGGGGCAGGACUGCUGCAGAGGUGAAGGGAGCACGAGGGACAGACAGGAGCGCAGAGAGAGGGGCAAGCACCGCGUCCUGGCUGAGAGGAUAACGCAAACGCUGAAUACCUACAUUACACCAGCCGAGGGUCAGCCCCAUGUCCCGCUGAUUUUCGCAUGCAACAACCCUGUGUCAAGCUGAUCUCGUGGUGUUCGCUGAGAGGGGUGAGGAGAGGGUCGGAUGACGCCAGCAGCUGGAAGGGAGGGGGAGGAGGGGCACACAGUUACUGCCCUCCUGGUCCUGCUCUGCUGGGCAGCUAUCACCAAGCAGGAGCCCUGUCCCACUCUGGCAGGACACAUGAGUGUCCCCUUCCUCUCCAACCCCUUGUAGGAGGCAUCAUGGUAUAAUGGGAGAAGCAGGGGCCUCAGAGCCAUAGAGACCUGGGUUCAAAACCCAGCUCAGCUGUUGCUAGCUGUGUGAUUGCAUGCAAGUUACUUAACCCCUCUGAUCUUCAGACUACUCUCCUGAAAAAUAGGAAUUUUAAAAAACCAAAACUUACUCCACAGGAUUAUUCAUUCCUAGAACAAAUUUUUUUUGAGUCCUCAUUUGUAUUAUUUCUGAUCUAGUCAAUGGGAAUAUAGUAGCUUCAUAUAUAAUAAGUACUUAAAUAUUAGCUUCUUUCUUUUCUGCUAUUCAUUCCCUAAUCGAAAGCACAGAAUCCUUAGAGAAAUCCCCUCCUUUUUUCCUCUUCUCUAGUGCACAUUGUUUUGUCCUCCAAGUAAAGAUCACCUAAUAACAAGAGUAACACCUAACACCAGGUACUUACUACCUGCUAGGCACUAUUUGCAGUACUUACAUACUUUACUAAUUUAAUGCUCACAACAACACAAAGAGAUUGAUUUUACAAAUAAGGAAAAGGAAGCACAGAGAAGCUAAGGGAUUUGUCAUGGUCACACAGCCAGUAAAUUAUGGAGCUGGGAUUUGCACCAGGGCUCCUGGGUUCGAGUCCACAGCCUGAGCCAAUACGUUAGAGAUCAUAUAGUUCAGGCCCUCUGCGUGAUAGCGUGUCUUCACAGCUGUCUCUCUUCCCCCAUCCCUCCUUGUCUUUUCUCUUCUCCUCUCUUCUGUUCUUUUCCUCUCAGCUGAAGAAACUGAAGGCUACUUUGGACAGGGUUAGGUGACAGGCUCAAAGUUACACAACUCCUGUGGCCUUUAUCCUCCAUUCCCGGGCCCUUCCUCUGACACUGUGCAACAGUAGACAAUCAGUGUGAAGGCAAACAGCUGAAAUUAAUUACAAUUUUGAGUAAAUAAUUUAUAUAACUUUAUACUCCCCGUUGUGACAACCAUUUGAAGGUAUCAGAUGUAAUGGUAAAAAGAUUCCCAUUAGAUACCAUUAUGCUUCUUUUAGUUUAAUUAAUCCCAAUCUGAAAUGCACUCUUUGUUUUUGCUAGCCUUGUUUGAAUUUCUGCCCCCACAAAUAUUUGUGCUGUUGUUUUAGUUUCAAUUAGCUUCUGGUGUUUUCCUUGGACUGGUUUUUGUGAUGGAAUGGGGGUGGAGUGUUUACAGUCUGACCUGUCAUCUGUGAAGCUUUGCCUCCCCAAACCACCACAGCCCCAGCUCAGAGACGACAACGAAGUACAGUCAAAACAAGCCCAGGGCGCUGGGGAGCCCGGGAGCACUGGCCCCGCUGCAGACUCACUCUGAAGCCCAAGCCACCCGGAGGCAGUCGUCACACGGAGGAGCAUUGCACACAAGGCCUCCACGGAAUUUCCAGAACUUUGCCCUUGAACUGACAUGAGGUCACCAGAAUCUAGAACCUAAUUCCAGGAAGAAUACUUUCUGGUAUCAAGGAGGUACUCAACCCAGAAGAGAUAAGAAAGUCAAUAGGUGCCAUUGACAAAUUGGGGCAUAAGUUUACAGAGGGUGGUGUAGGUGAUAAACGAGACACUGGAGGCAGAACACUAUUUGCAGACAGAAGAAUUUCCCAGCUCACCUGUAUGAGUCAAUGAACUCCUCUGAGUUUUGAUUUCCUCAUCUGUAGAAAAAGGAGAUACUAAUACUUGGCUUGCUGACCACCCAGGGAUCAAAUGAGGAAAUUAGGCACAUGAGAUCAAUCUGAAAACUGCAAAGUACUCUAGAAAUACGAUGAAUUAUAUUACUGCUAUUCCAUAACUCGUAUAUAAAGAAAGUGGAGUUUCACUGGAAUAACAUAUAUAACAGUGAUUUCCACUGAAAUGCACCAGAAAGAAUGAUGCAACUCAUUGUGAGACUUUUAUUGCAUUUUUAAACCUGGGAGAGACAGCUUUGCACACAUAACAAAACACAGCAAGAAAGCGUCAGACAGGGACUGUGCGCCUGCACCAGCCUGAGUGUUCCAGACACACUGGGAAGGAUGAGGCAGGUGAGACGUGCAGCCUGGAAGAGUCAACUCCUCUGUGUGCACAAGGGGGCAGGCACAGCCACUGGGCUGCCGCCCCAGGGUAAGGGGUACUCAAGCCCCAGGCAGAUGUUAGAGACUGCUGUGGACUAAAUUGCGUCCCCCAAAAGCAUGUGUUGAGGCCGUAACCCCCAAUGUGACAAUGUUUAGAAAUAGGGCUUUUAGGAGGUAAAGUGAAAUGAGGGCGUAGGGACAGGGCCCUGAUCCAAUGGGAUUGGUGGCAUUAUACAAAGAAGAAGAGCUCGUCCUGGCCUUCUCCCUCUCUCCCCUCUCUACCUCCCCCUCAGAGGGAAGGCCACGUGAGGACAAAGUAGCCAUCUGCAAGCCAGGAAGAUGGCUCCCACCAUAAGCCAAUCCUGCUGGAACCCAGAUCUUGGACUUUCCAGCCUUCAGAACUGUGAGAAAAUUAAUUUCCGUUGUUUAUGCCACCAGUCUGUGGUAUUUUGUUAUGACAGCCAAGAAGACUGAGACAUGGACAACGUACUCAUUUUUGUUUUACAGCUCAGUUUCAUUCCCACAGUGCAGAGGCUAAAAGCUCACGUGUUGGAUUUUCACCACCAGAGAUCAUAUCCUGCCUCUCACAUUUCUUGGCUAUGGAAAUCUGAGAAACUUAAAAAAUCUCCAACUCCCAGUUUUCUCAUCUAUAAAAUGGGAAUAAUAAUAGUAAUAACAGCAUCUACCUUGGGCUUGCUGUAAAGAAAUGCAGCAGCCAGCAUAGUGCUGGCACUUAGUAAGUGCCCAGUUAAUGUUAACUGUCACCAUCAAUCCUAGAAAAAGUCCGGUAUUAAGCACAAAAUACUCUGCAACCAAGUUAAAGCUAGAUCUCCCAUUGCUGAGUCAACCCCGCACUCUCCACCCGCCAAUUAGCUGUCUAUUGAUCUGUAAAGCCAGUUGACUGAGUAUUUAUCAGACAGAGUGAGGGGAGGAAAAGGUAUGAGAAGAGAAUGACAAUACAAUUCAUUUAA
ensembl:lncRNA